rnacentral:rRNA from 1 species
CUACGGGAGGCAGCAGUGGGGAAUUUUGGACAAUGGGGGCAACCCUGAUCCAGCCAUGCCGCGUGUCUGAAGAAGGCCUUCGGGUUGUAAAGGACUUUUGUCAGGGAGCAAAACCUGGUGGCUAAUACCCAUCGGGGAUGAGAGUACCUGAAGAAUAAGCACCGGCUAACUACGUGCCAGCAGCCGCGGUAAUACGUAGGGUGCAAGCGUUAAUCGGAAUUACUGGGCGUAAAGCGUGCGCAGGCGGAUGUUUAAGCCAGAUGUGAAAGCCCCGAGCUUAACUUGGGAAUUGCGUUUGGAACUGAGCAUCUAGAGUCUGUCAGAGGGGGAUGGAAUUCCACGUGUAGCAGUGAAAUGCGUAGAGAUGUGGAGGAACACCGAUGGCGAAGGCAGUCCCCUGGGAUAAGACUGACGCUCAUGCACGAAAGCGUGGGGAGCAAACAGGAUUAGAAACCCUAGUAGUCC